UGCAGACUGUGUGUGGACAAG
rnacentral:miRNA from 1 species